CCUACGGGUUGCAGCAGUGAGGAAUAUUGGUCAAUGGACGAGAGUCUGAACCAGCCCAGUAGCGUGAAGGAUGACUGCCCUAUGGGUUGUAAACUUCUUUUAUAUGGGAAUAAUAUGUUUCACGUGUAGGAUGUUGUAUGUACCAUAUGCAUAAGCAUCGGCUAACUCCGUGCCAGCAGCCGCGGUAAUACGGAGGAUCCGAGCGUUAUCCGGAUUUAUUGGGGUUAAAGGGAGGGUUGGUGGAGUGUUAAGUCAGUUGUGAAAGUUUGGGGGUCAAACGUAACAUCGCCGUUGAGACUGGAAGUCUUGAGAACAGUCGAGGUGGGCGGAAUACGUGGUGUAGCGGUGAAAUGCAUAGAUAUAACGGAGAACUCCGAUAGCGAAGGCAGCUCACUAGACUGAGACUGACACUGAGGCACGAAAGUGUGGGUAGCAAACAGGAUUAGAUACCCCAGUAGUC
rnacentral:rRNA from 1 species